GACGAACGCUGGCGGCGUGCCUAAUACAUGCAAGUAGAACGCAGUUGCGAACGGGUGAGUAACGCGUCGGUAACUGCCUCAUAGCGGGGGAUAACUAUUGGAAACGAUAGCUAAUACCGCAUCCUGUUAUCUGGACCUGCGUUGUAUUAGCUAGUUGGUGAGGUAAAGGCUCACCAAGGCGACGAUACAUAGCCGAACUGAGAGGGUGAUCGGGCACACGGGGAAUGGAACACGGCCCAGACUCCUACGGGAGGCAGCAGUAGGGAAUCUUCGGCAAUGGAGGGAAGUCUGAACGAGAAACGCCGGGUGAGUGAAGAAGGUGUUCGGAGCGGAAAGCUCUGUUGAUAGAGAAGCGGUAAAUAACCAGAAAGGGACGGCUAACUACGUGCCAGCAGCCGCGGUAAUAC
rnacentral:rRNA from 1 species